GCUCGCAGCCCUGUACGUAAGCCGAUUCCAGGUCCACGCAGUGCGCCCGGCUCUCCCUGCAGAAGGCGGCGGGUGAGGCCCGCUCCAGCGGCCCCCAGCCCCCUCCCCUCGCGUCCCCUCUACGCACCUCUGCAUGUCGCGGAAGCAGCGGAUGCACAACAGCAACUUCUUGUCGGUGGAGAACAAGAGGCACUUGGCGCUCUGAUAUACCCACUUUACAGAGGAGGGCACUGCGGCUCAGAGGCUGGGUCAUCGGCGCCUCAUUUCCUCGGCGGCCAAUUGGGGGCGCCAGAGAGCAGCGGACGCCCCUCCACCGACUUUCCAGCGCUUGGGAGGC